UACGGAGGGGGCGAGCGUUAUUCGGAAUUAUUGGGCGUAAAGGGCGCGUAGGCGGCUUGACAAGUCAAAGGUGAAAUCCCUCGGCUCAACUGAGGAACUGCCUUUGAAACUGUCUGGCUUGAGGCCGGGAGGGGGUAGCGGAAUUCCCAGUGUAGCGGUGAAAUUCGUAGAUAUUGGGAAGAACACCAGUGGCGAAGGCGGCUAACUGGUCCAGAUCUGACGCUGAGGUGCGAAAGCGUGGGGAGCAAACAGG
rnacentral:rRNA from 1 species